CAUUGUCUUAGUAACGGCGAGUGAAGCGACAAAAGCUCAAAUUUGAAAUCUGGCACCUUCGGUGUCCGAGUUGUAAUUUGAAGAAGGUAACUUUGGAGUUGGCUCUUGUCUAUGUUCCUUGGAACACGACGUCACAGAGGGUGAGAAUCCCGUGCGAUGAGAUGUCCAACUCUAUGUAAAGUGCUUUCGAAGAGUCGAGUUGUUUGGGAAUGCAGCUCUAAGUGGGUGGUAAAUUCCAUCUAAAGCUAAAUAUUGGCGAGAGACCGAUAGCGAACAAGUACAGUGAUGGAAAGAUGAAAAGAACUUUGAAAAGAGAGUGAAAAAGUACGUGAAAUUGUUGAAAGGGAAGGGUUUGAGAUCAGACUUGGUAUUUUGUAUGUCUUGCUUUCGGGUGGGGCCUCUGCAGUUUACUGGGCCAGCAUCGGUUUGGACGGUAGGAUAAUGACAUUGGAAUGUGGCACU
rnacentral:rRNA from 1 species